AAGUCGUAACAAGGUCUCCGUUGGUGAACCAGCGGAGGGAUCAUUACAGAAUCUGACCAUAGCGUCAUGGCUCUGCCGACCCCGUGAACAUUAUAUCUGUACGUUGCCUCGGCGGACCCUGCCUUUAGGCAGGCCGCCGGUUGGCAUAUACGCAAACGCUCUGAAGAAGCUCCGCGCUCCAUCUGAACGUAGAAAAUUUUUAACGAGUAAAAACUUUUGGCAACGGAUCUCUUGGCUCUG
rnacentral:misc_RNA from 1 species